CAGGAAACUGCGUCUACUCACUUCAGCUCUCUCAAGGAAUAAGCACCUUCCUCAGUGGUCCAAGCGUUUGUGAAGGCAGCUGUUUCAACAGGACCCCUCUGCAAGACUCCUUCAACCACAUGACGCCUUCACUGCUGUCUGCCCAGACAACUUCAUUGUGUCCACCAGAAGUCAGUAUGACGCAACUUCCCAGAUCACACUGUGAAAGCUGCCGAGGAGCUGAGACUUUGCCUGUCCUCCCUUCAAGACAGUGCACGCCAUAGUGCCUGCUGGGUCCUCGCAUCUGCCCCUGCAAUCCAUCCCUCCUCCUGACCACCAUGGCCCAUCCUCUGUAUUAUCCUUGUGGCAUGAGCCCACACCGCUGGGACGUGAGAUCUGUUGAAUACAUUUAUCUUUGUGUGUAUAGCCCCAUUUAGG
rnacentral:lncRNA from 1 species